rnacentral:rRNA from 1 species
UACGUAGGGUGCAAGCGUUGUCCGGAAUUAUUGGGCGUAAAGAGCUCGUAGGCGGUCUGUUGCGUCCGCUGUGAAAACUCGGGGCUUAACCCCGAGCCUGCAGUGGAUACGGGCAGACUAGAGUCAGGUAGGGGAGAACGGAAUUCCUGGUGUAGCGGUGAAAUGCGCAGAUAUCAGGAGGAACACCGGUGGCGAAGGCGGUUCUCUGGGCCUGUACUGACGCUGAGGAACGAAAGCGUGGGGAGCGAACAGG